rnacentral:rRNA from 1 species
ACUCCUACGGGAGGCAGCAGUAGGGAAUAUUGGACAAUGGGCGGAAAGACCUGAUCCAGCAAUGCCGCGUGAGUGAUGAAGGCCUUAGGGUUGUAAAGCUCUUUUACCCGGGUAUGAUAAUGACAGUACCGGGAGAAUAAGCUCCGGCUAACUCCGUGCCAGCAGCCGCGGUAAUACGGAGGGAGCUAGCGUUGUUCGGAAUUACUGGGCGUAAAGCGCACGUAGGCGGCUAUUCAAGUCAGAGGUGAAAGCCCGGGGCUCAACCCCGGAACUGCCUUUGAAACUAGAUAGCUUGAAUCCAGGAGAGGUGAGUGGAAUUCCGAGUGUAGAGGUGAAAUUCGUAGAUAUUCGGAAGAACACCAGUGGCGAAAGGCGGCUCACUGGACUGGUAUUGACGCUGAGGUGCGAAAGCGUGGGAGCAAACAGGAUUAGAUACCCUGGUAGCGACUGA